CCUACGGGGUGCAGCAGUAGGGAAUAUUGCUCAAUGGGGGAAACCCUGAAGCAGCAACGCCGCGUGGAGGAUGAAGGUUUUCGGAUUGUAAACUCCUUUUGUUAGAGAAGAUAAUGACGGUAUCUAACGAAUAAGCACCGGCUAACUCCGUGCCAGCAGCCGCGGUAAUACGGAGGGUGCAAGCGUUACUCGGAAUCACGGGGCGUAAAGAGCGCGUAGGCGGGAUAGCAAGUCAGAUGUGAAAUCCUAUGGCUUAACCAUAGAACUGCAUUUGAAACUGUUAUUCUAGAGGAUGGGAGAGGUAGGUGGAAUUCUUGGUGUAGGGGUAAAAUCCGUAGAGAUCAAGAGGAAUACUCAUUGCGAAGGCGAGCUGCUAGAACAUAACUGACGCUGAUGCGCGAAAGCGUGGGGAGCAAACAGGAUUAGAUACCCGGGUAGUC
rnacentral:rRNA from 1 species